ACAGGCUUAACACAUGCAAGUCGAGGGGAAACGACAUCGAAAGCUUGCUUUUGAUGGGCGUCGACCGGCGCACGGGUGAGUAACGCGUAUCCAACCUGCCCAUCACUUGGGAAUAACCUUGCGAAAGUAAGACUAAUACCCAAUGAUAUCCCACGAAGGCAUCCGAAUGGGAUUAAAGAUUUAUCGGUGAUGGAUGGGGAUGCGUCUGAUUAGCUUGUUGGCGGGGUAACGGCCCACCAAGGCGACGAUCAGUAGGGGUUCUGAGAGGAAGGUCCCCCACAUUGGAACUGAGACACGGUCCAAACUCCUACGGGAGGCAGCAGUGAGGAAUAUUGGUCAAUGGGCGAGAGCCUGAACCAGCCAAGUAGCGUGCAGGAUGACGGCCCUAUGGGUUGUAAACUGCUUUUAUAAGGGAAUAAAGUGAGUCUCGUGAGACUUUUUGCAUGUACCUUAUGAAUAAGGACCGGCUAAUUCCGUGCCAGCAGCCGCGGUAAUACGGAAGGUCCGGGCGUUAUCCGGAUUUAUUGGGUUUAAAGGGAGCGUAGGCCGGAGAUUAAGCGUGUUGUGAAAUGUAGACGCUCAACGUCUGCACUGCAGCGCGAACUGGUUUCCUUGAGUACGCACAAAGUGGGCGGAAUUCGUGGUGUAGCGGUGAAAUGCUUAGAUAUCACGAAGAACUCCGAUUGCGAAGGCAGCUCACUGGAGCGCAACUGACGCUGAAGCUCGAAAGUGCGGGUAUCGAACAGGAUUAGAUACCCUGGUAGUCCGCACGGUAAACGAUGGAUGCCCGCUGUUGGUCUGAAUAGGUCAGCGGCCAAGCGAAAGCAUUAAGCAUCCCACCUGGGGAGUACGCCGGCAAC
rnacentral:rRNA from 1 species